GACUCGGUAUCUUAGUUUGAAAGCACUCGUCUAGCAUACAAGAGUCGUGGGUUCGAGUCCCACCUGAGCA
rnacentral:tRNA from 1 species